rnacentral:rRNA from 1 species
CCUACGGGUGGCAGCAGUGAGGAAUAUUGGUCAAUGGACGCAAGUCUGAACCAGCCAAGUAGCGUGCAGGAUGACGGCCCUCCGGGUUGUAAACUGCUUUUAGUUGGGAAUAAACGGGGGCUCGUGAGCCCCGUAUUGUAUGUACCAUCAGAAAAAGGACCGGCUAAUUCCGUGCCAGCAGCCGCGGUAAUACGGAAGGUCCGGGCGUUAUCCGGAUUUAUUGGGUUUAAAGGGAGCGUAGGCCGGCUUUUAUGUCAGCUGUGAAAGUCCGCGGCUCAACCGGGGAAUUGCAGUUGAGACGGGAGGCCUAGAGUGCACACAGGGAGGCCGGAAUUCAUGGUGUAGCGGUGAAAUGCUUAGAUAGCAGGCAGAACCCCGAUUGCGAAGGCAGCCUGCCAGGCCAUGACUGACGCUGAUGCACGAAAGCGUGGGGAUCAAACAGGAUUAGAUACCCCAGUAGUC